rnacentral:rRNA from 1 species
GUGAGGAAUAUUGGUCAAUGGGUGGAAGCCUGAACCAGCCAUCCCGCGUGAAGGAAGGCGGCCCUAUGGGUUGUAAACUUCUUUAGUACAUGAAGAACAGGAUCUACGCGUAGGUUUAUGACGGUAAUGUACAAAAAAGCAUCGGCUAACUCCGUGCCAGCAGCCGCGGUAAUACGGAGGAUGCGAGCGUUAUCCGGAUUCAUUGGGUUUAAAGGGUACGUAGGUGGCCCUGUAAGUCAGUGGUGAAAAUCUGCCGCUUAACGGUAGGGGUGCCAAUGAUACUGCGGGGCUUGAGUACAGUUGAGGUAGGUGGAAUGUGUAGUGUAGCGGUGAAAUGCAUAGAUAUUACACAGAACUCCGAUUGCGAAGGCAUCUUACUAAGCUGAAACUGACACUGAUGUACGAAAGCGUGGGGAUCGAACAGGAUUAGAAACCCGUGUAGUCC